GACGAACGCUGGCGGCGUGCUUAACACAUGCAAGUCGAACGGAAAGGCCCUUUCGGGGGUACUCGAGUGGCGAACGGGUGAGUAACACGUGGGUGAUCUGCCCUGCACUUCGGGAUAAGCUUGGGAAACUGGGUCUAAUACCGGAUAGGACUACGGACUUCAUGGUUUGUGGUGGAAAGCUUUUGCGGUGUGGGAUGGGCCCGCGGCCUAUCAGCUUGUUGGUGGGGUGAUGGCCUACCAAGGCGACGACGGGUAGCCGGCCUGAGAGGGUGUCCGGCCACACUGGGACUGAGAUACGGCCCAGACUCCUACGGGAGGCAGCAGUGGGGAAUAUUGCACAAUGGGCGCAAGCCUGAUGCAGCGACGCCGCGUGGGGGAUGACGGCCUUCGGGUUGUAAACCUCUUUCACCAUCGGCGAAGCCCGGGAUUUUGUUUCGGGUGACGGUAGG
rnacentral:rRNA from 1 species